rnacentral:tRNA from 1 species
GGGCAUGUAGCGCAGUUGGUAGCGCGCUCGCUUAGCAUGCGAGAGGUCUUGGGUUCAAUUCCCAACUUGUCCA